rnacentral:pre_miRNA from 1 species
UUUAUACUCCCUCCGUCCCAAAAUUCUUGUCUUAGAUUUGUCUAAAUACGGAUGUAUCAAGUCACCUUUUAGUAUUAGAUACAUCUGUAUCUAGACAAAUCUAAGACACGAAUUUUGGGACGGAGGGAGUACUAU